rnacentral:rRNA from 1 species
CCACGGGUUAUGCCUCAGUACGGCGAGUGAGCGGCAAAAGCUCAAAUUUGAAAUCUAGCACCUUCGGUGUUCGAGUUGUAAUUUGAAGAUGGUAACCUUGGGUUUGGCUCUUGUCUAUGUUCCUUGGAACAGGACGUCAUAGAGGGUGAGAAUCCCGUCUGAUGAGAUGCCCAUUCCUAUGUAAGGUGCUAUCGAAGAGUCGAGUUGUUUGGGAAUGCAGCUCUAAGUGGGUGGUAAAUUCCAUCUAAAGCUAAAUAUUGGCGAGAGACCGAUAGCGAACAAGUACAGUGAUGGAAAGAUGAAAAGAACUUUGAAAAGAGAGUGAAAAAGUACGUGAAAUUGUUGAAAGGGAAGGGCAUUAGAUCAGACUUGGUGUUUUACGAUUAUCUUCUCUUCUUGAGUUGUGCACUCGUAUUUCACUGGGCCAGCAUCGAUUCGGAUGGCAAGAUAAUGGCAGUUGAAUGUGGCUUCACUUCGGUGGAGUGUUAUAGCUUCUGCUGAUAUUGCCUGUCUGGAUCGAGGGCUGCGUCUUUUGACUAGGAUGCUGGCGUAAUGAUCUAAUGCCGCCCGUCUUGAAACACGGACCAA